AACCUUCUUCGCAGGCUCUGGACAUCCGCCGCCGCCGCCGCGUCCCCGUUCCAUCCCGCCCUAGCGCGCCGUGAGCCUCCACGAUGCACGUCCGCCGCCCAGCGCCGCCACGGAGGCCACUCAACGCCGAGCCGCCCGACGCGGAACACCACCCCCGCCGCUUUCCCGUCGUACGCGGCCAUCGCGCGCCGCAGGCCUCCGCGGUAUCCGCCACCAGCAUAGCCCCGCCACCGAACUCCGCCGCCGCUGGCCAUCCAACUGCGCCGCUGCCGCUCGCCUUCACCGGCGUGCUGUGGUCGCAGUGGGGCGCCGAGGGGAAGGGACAACAAAGCAUUCCCUAACCACACCAAGUGUUUUUUUUUUCUACUUUUGGUGAUUCUCCGAUGGAUUCCCCUGAUAGCAGAGCAGUUUCACUAGCUAGGCCCUUCCUCACCCCACCUCGAGUUCUCCAGCGGCCACGAUCUUUGCCCAUCGCUCAGCCUCAGGCUAUCUCCAGAUUGUGAACAAGAUUGCAAACAAUCAGAUUGUCAUGAGAUGCGGAUCUUUAUCACUAUUCAGCCAGAGCCUUAAAGAGAUGUUUAUGUGAGCCUAAAAAUGCAGCAGAGAUCACACAUCUCCUGCUUAGCAGAUUGCAAACAAGAUUGCGAACAAUCAGAUUGUCAUGAGAUGCGGACCUUGAUCAAUUGCGAACAAGUUUGCGAACAAUGAGAUUGUCAUGAGAUGCGGACCUUUAUCAGUAAGUCUGUUUUUUUUUCAUGUGUACUCCACCAUGAUACCAUGUUACAUGAAACCACAUUUUUGUUUUGAAAACCACAAAAACAGUAAUCUAUCAUGUUAUGUUGGCAAACCUGUAUGUAUAUAUGGGAGGAAAAAAUGCAAUAACAGUUUUCAAAUAUUCUGAACUGCUCGUCACUAGAAAAUGUUGCAUUUGUUCUUGUACUUAUACUGAUUAUGCAAUUCCAGUCCAUCAUCCUAUUGUUA